rnacentral:tRNA from 1 species
GUCCAGGGAUGGGGAUCGAACCCACAGUGUUCCGCUUACCGGGUAGAUGCCAUGUUCGAUAGGCUACCCUGGA